AGGAAGAGGAAUAGGCUAUGACCUAAUGCU
rnacentral:piRNA from 1 species